AAGCUCUGGUUGCACUUUCUCUUCCGCUUGCGGGGGCGGCCAACUUCUGAGGGUGGCGGAGUCACCGCGGCGCCACGGCACGUGCGUCUUCCCCUCUCGUUUCUGCGGCCCAGACGGAGGAGGCCGGAAGAGAAGACACUUCCGCUCUCUGAACACGGCUUUUCUCGGCUUUUCUCGACUAAGUUCGCCAGCGCGUUAGGGGACUGGCCCAGUUGGCGGCAUGAAACUACCAAUGGGCGUGAAACUAAGUAUAAGGCUGAGAAUGGUGUCAUGGAACAAAGAAUAAUCACCAUUUCUUAAAAGGCCCCGGUCUAAAGUGAACACAGCUUGGGAGUUUACCUGUGGCAGCUAGAGCCCCCACUGUCAGCGAGUAAGGACAACUGUCAGCUUCUCAGCUCCCCCUGGUACCGAGGUGGAGUGGAACUCAAGCCCGAAGACACUGCUGCUAAUGACGAUGACAAAAAGAGCUGCCCGGGACCCGAAGUUUGCUAGGCAGCCUAUACCUGCUGCAACCGUGCAGUGAAAAACACCCAGCAAGAAGAGGCUGUGCCGUGGCACCCGCUUUAAAGAUGCAUCUGGACAAGCUGGGAGCUCGCAAUGUGUUGCCCCCAUCUCAUCCACAUCUGCCGAGCAGUUUGCCCCGGACUCCUGGCUCCCAGCUCCUCCCGGAGAAGAAGCUGAGAAGCAGCAGGCUUGGCUGCCGCCCAGCGGCCCGUCUGUAAUCUUCCUGCUCAACACCACAUCUUGGCAGCAGCAGGAGGCAGGCUCAGGCUGCCCCAGAAGCCAGCCUUGAGACUGGUGACUCAGCGGGGGAGGUGGCGGGUGGGACUUGGGGCCCCGGGGGCCAGGACUGAUGACAACUGAGCAGAAGACAGGAAGAUGAGUCCUGAGCCCAAGCUGAGCAGCAAUCUAAUGAAUUCACAGCAAUUCCGUUUGUGUGGCUGAAUCCUCCCUGUGGGUUUAGAGGAUCCCUCCCUGUGGGUUUAGAUCCCCUGCUUCCUGCUUUCUAAAAUGCAGCCUGACCAAGGUCUAGAUGCCGCAGCCAAGUGACCCCUCUUUUCCUUUGCUGCCACCCACCCCCACCCCCAAACCCAAGCAAUUAUACAGGAACAUCCAAAGAGAUGUGGGU